GGGUCUGUGGCUCAGGUGGUUAGAGCGCACCCCUGAUAAGGGUGAGGUCGGUGGUUCGAGUCCACGCAGACCCA
rnacentral:tRNA from 1 species